UUAGUGAAACAUUCACGGUUU
rnacentral:piRNA from 1 species